ACGGUAAAGAAAGAAGCCCUAAAACUAAAUCCUCUCCAUCUUUGUCUUCUUUUCCCACACUUUGUCUCUUUCCACUCUCUCCAUCCCGAUUCCCGAACCUCUUCUCUCUCGGCAGCGGCGUGUCUACCCACGACGCAGCAAUGGGAGCACAGCCAGCACGACAAUAGCGGCAGCAGCAGAGCCAGAUAUCUCUUUUAGUCUUCUUCUCUGUUUCCCUCUUUCUCACCCUCUUAUCUCUGUAGGGCUUGUUACGUUGGCAAAGGGAUCUUGUUACCCUCCCUCCUGUAACGUGACUGUAAGUCUCUUCCCAUCUCUUUUUUGUUUUUUCAUCUCUCUCCCCCCACUCUCUAUUUUGGGCUUCGAUGGGGGCUUUGAGCUUUGGGGUGACUGGGUUUGAUAGAGGACAGAGAUGGUGGACACUGUGAGCCCCAGAAGUUUUGUUUGAUUAUCAGAGUUUAUGUGGCGUGGGUUAUUAUUAUCCAUUCACUUUAUAUAUAUAAGGUACAGAUAUCAGAUGUGUAUAAUAUGUCGAUCUAAACCUAACUAAUGUUGUGUCUCUCCAAAAAUUGAGUCUUUCUUUCAUAAAUUUAGUUAGUUUUUUACUACAUAUAUGAGUUCAUUAUCAUGAUCUAUAUGUUUCAUAUCCAUGAGGUUUAUUUUGGUCAUGAGUUGAGAGCUGAAUCUUCAGUAAUGGAGAUGACCAACUCUACAGCCAUAGCUGAUGAUCAUCAUGAUCCAACACUGAUCGCUAGCUCCACCACUUCAACAAAGAUUUAUUUCUUUUUAUGCUCUGUGGUCAUAUUUCUUGCAACACUUGAAGAUAAGUAUUCUUUUGAGGUCUUUUUUUUCUUCAAAAGAUCUGUGAUAAAUAAGUAUCACAUAAAUUGAUCUGUAAACCAUAGUGUUCUUGUAUAUUUAAUAAUAGUUCUAUGUUGUAUAUCGAUAAUCUAUGGGCUUGUAGAUUAAAAUAUGAGUAGUGAUAUUUUUAAGAUCAUACUUGCUUGUUACAUAUAUACAGUUCUCUGUUAAAUAGGAUUUGUUAAAGACGGUAUGAUAACAGUAAUACUUCAGAUUAUUCUGGGAUAACAGUAAAUUCCUUGUAAACUUGGAUAACAGUAAAUUCCAUGUAAACUUGUAAUAUUUGGUUAUUUUGUUUUCUAACUGUACUUAUUUGUAGGUAUGUACGAGCUUGGUCGUUUGCCAGCUAGCACUAAGCUUUCAAGCAACAAGAUUGCAAGGUGUAUUCGGGUGUAUUCGUGUCGAAGGUGGAAGUCAUAUAUUAGUUGUUAUGAUUAUAAUUUGUUGUGUAAAUGUGAAUAUGAUUUGUAAAUUAAUAAUAAGAUGUAUUUUUAGAGUUA